rnacentral:misc_RNA from 1 species
UAUAUAUCUCCUUCAAAGAGGAGGUUUAAGUUUAAGUAGCCCUUCCUUAAUCGAAAAAAUGGUAGCUUUUACCUUUUUUUCCCUCUUCCUCGGAUUUGGUUAUAUUGUUGGCUGACUGUCAAAGUAGCAUUCUUUUAUCAUUGAGUCAUUAACUUUGAUGUGAUUAUGCAGGCAAUUCCUUGUAUCACUUAUAUCCCAUGUGGUUUAGUGGAAUUGAAUCUGAUUUAGUACAUUGUAGGGUAUAAUUUCUGUUGGCUAAUUGUGAUUUAAGUACUUUCCUUGAACUGGAUUUUAUGUUUUGUUUGCAUCUCUUUAGAUACCAAUCUAGGGAUUCGAGAGCCUGAAAAAUUUAUGGAAUUUUCUUGUUGCUGUUGGGCAAGGUUAUUUCCCAAAUUUAGCAUUUUAAGGAAUCUAAUGAAGGGCCUUUUUGUGUUUGCAUAUCUACAAGGGAGUUGUGUCUGCAUAUGUGCCUCUGUAUGUGUUUUUAUGAGCAUUGUACGUCUGAACAAUUCCAGCACUGUCAAUAUCAUUCAGUGCUUUUCCAAAUCACACUUAGAAUCUCUUUGUACUUCUGAUGUUAUUGGUCUCCUCUGUUUUGGGUUUCACUCUUUCAUUAAGGUUUUGAGUGUAGAUGCUGUUACAAUUCUCCUAAAUAGAUUCUGUGAUCGUGCAUGUUGAGAUUAGUUGAUUCAGGUCUUCUGCAAUACCUUAUUUUUGGCCUAGCAUUUGGCAUGUUGCUUCUGCAGGAGACUGCAGCCAGUCAAUAGUUGCUUUUAUUUCUUUCUGCAUGUCUGAAUUUGUGGUUUUUCUUAUAUUUGUGCAUUUGCUUGUUGAACAUCUAUAUGGAGGUGUUUUAAACUGCAGUUUCCUAUAUUCUUUAGUUACCAUUUAGUAUUUGGAUUAGGUGAAAGAUAAAUGUUUAUUCUCUGGACUCUCUUUUUUAAAUGACAGGGCAUGGAGGAGAUGAACAUUGACCAGGUAGUGGAUGUACCUGAUACUCCUGAUAGAUUAGCUGCACGGCAUAUUAAUGGUGCACAAUCAGGAAAAGAAAGUAAUUCAUCAGUAGCUGGUCCUUCAAGAACAGAUUUUAGGGAUAAAGAAUGUUUGAAUCAGCCGGGGGCUAGGAGCAGUGAAAAUGGGCACUUGAAUCCUCAAAGAAUUGCUGGCAAGAUGACUGGAUUUGAGCCUCACAGUAAGUCUGUUGCUUUGUCUCCAUCAGAAAAUUCCUGUCCUUCCAAGAAUGCUCCUUUAUUUGGAAGAGGAACAAUGGCCUAUAACUCCAAGCCUGAAACUGGACUUUCUAUUGGAAUGCAACAUACGGACAAAAGGAAACCCGAGUCUACUAAAAUUCCUUCAAGAUCACGUGUUCAUAUAGAAGAGGAAGCUCUAUUUGACAUGGCUUUUCUAUGCAGGGCAUCAAAAACUCUGCAGUCUGAAAAGACAAGAGAUGUUCAGGUAUCAUCUAAUGGUGGCUCCAACUUACAUUUUGCCCCUACGACAUCCAACAAUGCCUUUAAAGGGAAGGAAAAGAUAGGUGUGAAUGCAGGUAACAGUUUUGGUUUGACCAUAAAUGAUGGAAAAGGGAUUGAUCUCACUGGUGGUUCUCAACCAAAAAUUGAAAAACAAAUCUCUUCUCCUCAUGUCUCUGUUAUUUCACCAAAAGUAACUGGACGAAAAAGAUUGGUGCGAAAUGGAUGUAUUUCUCCACAUAAUAUAGCCACUAGUGCAAAAAAAUUAGCUGACAGUCACCGAGUUGGUUCCACCAAUGUUGGAAAAGAUCACUGCAGUAGCAUGGUUUCUGAUGGUCCAUCUGAGGUAGAUAUCAAUGACAUAGUAGGUGAAGAGAAUAAUUGUUAUAGAGCAAAAGGAAAAGGGUUGGUGUUUCAUCAGUCUGCAUCAAUGGAGCCAAAUGUAAAGAUUGGUCAUGCUUCUACCAGUUGUGGGGCUAAUAGUAAGGCAGCUAAUGAAACCAGUGAUGCCAGCAGAGAUGCAUUAUUAGGUGGUUGGAGAGGUACACGCAACCGUGCAAAGAACAUAUGUCAAAUAGAAGGUGCAGAUGGAUGUUUUAUUGAUGAGCAGCAUGGAAACAGAGUGUUAAGAAGAAAUAGUGGGAAUGGAAAUGUUACCAAGAUUGCAAGUGAUUCUGGAGAUCAGGGUGAAGGCCAAACAGCUUCCAGGCCUGUGUCUGGGCUCAAUAAAAAAAGUCAAUCCCAUCAUAAUAUACAUAGUAAAAGGCAAAAGAAACAUCGACUGACUUCAAGAAAUCACAGUGAAUGCUCUACAAUGGUUCCUGAUGACUCUGAAAUCUUGUUCCUGGGUUCAUCUGAGGCGUCAUCCAGCUCAAGAUCAUCCAGAACCUUAAAUAGACAACAUCAGGGUAUUUUGGAACCAAUUUAUGAAAUUGAUGAGUUGUUACCUGAAAGGAGAAACCACUCCUCUCCAGGAUUAGGUUCCAUGAAUGAUGAUUCAGAUUCCAGGGCAAGACAAGUGGAAGCAGAUGAAAUUUUGGCUCGUGAACUCCAAGAACAAUUGUAUCAUGAGACGCCAAUAUUUGGAGGCAGUGAGAUUGAUGAAAAUAUAGCGUGGGUACUGCAGCAGGAGGAGGAUGCUUUCCGCAAUGCUUCUAGUCAAAAUCACCCUAGACUACGUCUUAGAAGCUCAGCUACAAUGCAUGCAAAUAGACAGCCCCAGCCACAGUCCUUUCAGAACCCUUCAAAUAGGAGACGAGCCCAGGCUCAAGUUCCUGCUGCUAGAACAUCAUUGAGGAAUCGCUUAUUGAACCGACAUCCUUCAGCAUUAUCUAGAGCCAGAAACCAUUCUCAUACAGCAUUAUCUAGAGCCAGUAGUUUCCAGUUUCCUUUGGGCAUGGACUUAGACAUGAGACUUGAUAUAUUGGAAGCAUUAGAAGAUGCAGUAGGGGAAUUCAGUGAUAUGAAUAUGACAGCUAGUCGCAUUCUUCAAGUUCAGCGUGAUUUUAAUGAAAAUGAUUAUGAAAUGUUGUUGGCCCUUGAUGAGAACAAUCACCAACACGGCGCAUCGGUCAAUCGAAUUAACAGUUUGCCAGAAUCUGUAGUACAGACUGAGAACUUUGAGGAAACUUGUGCAAUCUGUCUAGAAACCCCAACCAUCGGAGAAACUAUACGUCAUCUUCCUUGCCUGCAUAAAUUUCAUAAAGAUUGUAUCGAUCCAUGGCUCGGCAGAAAAACAUUAUGCCCAGUUUGCAAGUCAUCCAUAACUUGAUUUGCGCUAGCAAAUCUCAGUACCUCAAUUUCAUGCUUCUUCAGUUCAAUCCAAAUGUCGAAGCCAUUUUUUUGAAAGGUAAUCAGAGUUGUAGUUUCUGUUAGUCAGCCUUCUGGAAAAUCACAUAAAGACACUGUGCACUUGGCGGUAAACUAGCUGUUCUUUUCAAGUUUUAUUGAACAUUACAUUUAGCCAAUGUGUUCAAAGGAGUCGCAUGAAUUUUUAGUAUAAAUGGUAUUGAUUACACUUUAGUAACUCUGUUGUAUUAAUACACGGUCUCGUGUUGGGCAUAGCUUUGUACAUUGGGGUUGAGCUGAACCAAUCCUGGUAAUUCACAGACAGAACCCCUGACCAAUAGAUUUCUGAUGAAAUGGGUGAGAAGGGAAAUAAUGUCGUGAAGCCCAGGCAUCUGAGGUGAUGGUCUGUAGCAUUUAAUGGGCGGACAAGCUUUCCACAUUAGUUCCCGGUUUCAAGAUCCCCUUUGUUAGCAUUUUGGGUCAAAACGAAACAUGUAAGCAAAGCAAGUGCAAUCUUGCGUGUGCAUGUUUCAUUUUGUGCCAUGUCUAUGGUCUCGCUUCAACCUAAAUUUCAAGCAAUAAUCAGUCUUCUUUUGUAUUAUUUUUGUGCUAGGAAUAUCCAUAGCCGUGUAUUUAUCCUUUGUUUCAAUGCGUCUCUUAUCAGUUUAAACACUUGAACUGAUAGCUAAUUUUCCUAAGGUCUUAAUAUUAAGAGAAAUAGUAAUUCAGAAAUCUGGGAAAGAUGAUGUAAAAUUGCAUUGACGAGAAUGGAAGAACAUCUAGGGUUUUAAACCUGAAAUCAAUGGUUGAUUCUGAAACCUUUCGUAUGUAGAGCCCAAAUCUCCUUGAUAUUGCAUCUGAUGUAGCCAAGUAGGAUCCUGUCUUGUUAGCUAGUUGCUAAGCUAGUAGAAAUUUUGAAGGUAAAUAAAUUGGGAAAGCUUUGAUUUGCUCGCCAUGGUCCAGAAAAUACUAUAUGCAGGGGCUCCAUCUAUGGAGGAAACCUCCCAUUUUUAUGCAGGGUACGAUUUAAGAAGCUUGUCGGAGCUGCUACAAAUAAAUUUAA